rnacentral:rRNA from 1 species
AAACUUUCAGCAAUGGAUGUCUUGGCUCGUGCAUCGAUGAAGGACGCACCGAAAUGCGAUACGCAUUGUGAAUUGCAAAUUUCAGUGAACCAUUAGAUUUCCGAACGCAUAUG